rnacentral:rRNA from 1 species
AUUGAACGCUGGCGGCAUGCUUUACACAUGCAAGUCGAGCGGCAGCGCGGGGGCAACCCUGGCGGCGAGCGGCGAACGGGUGAGUAAUGCAUCGGAACGUGUCCGGGAGUGGGGGAUAAC